UACAGAGGGUGCGAGCGUUGUCCGGAAUCACUGGGCGUAAAGGGUGCGUAGGCGGCUUUUAAGUUUGGUGUGAAAUCUCCCGGCUCAACUGGGAGGGUGCGCCGAAUACUGAGAGGCUAGAGUGGCGGGAGAGGAAAGUGGAAUUCCUGGUGUAGCGGUGAAAUGCGUAGAUAUCAGGAGGAACACCGGUGGUGUAAACGGCUUUCUGGACCGUAACUGACGCUGAGGCACGAAAGCGUGGGUAGCAAACAGG
rnacentral:rRNA from 1 species